rnacentral:misc_RNA from 1 species
UCUCCGUUGGUGAACCAGCGGAGGGAUCAUUACCGAGUUUACAACUCCCAAACCCCAAUGUGAACGUUACCAAACUGUUGCCUCGGCGGGAUUUCUCCCCCGGGCGCGUCGCAGCCCCGGACCAAGGCGCCCGCUGGAGGACUAACCCAACACUCAUUUGUAUUCCCCCUCGCGGGUUUUUUAUAUCUGAGCCUUCUCGGCGCCCCUUGCGGGCGUUUCGAAAAUGAAUCAAAACUUUCAACAACGGAUCUCUUGGCUCUC